ACGCGACAUGGGCUUCGGUCCAAGUUGAGUGACGAACGGGUGAGUAACACGUGGGUGACCUACCUUCGAGUGGGGGAUAACGUCCCGAAAGGGACGCUAAUACCGCAUAACAUCCUGCCUUUGAACAGGCGGAGAUCAAAGCCGGGGAUCGCAAGACCUGGCGCUUGAUGAGGGGCCCGCGCCUGAUUAGCUAGUUGGUGGGGUAAUGGCCCACCAAGGCGACGAUCAGUAUCCGGCCUGAGAGGGCGGACGGACACACUGGGACUGAGACACGGCCCAGACUCCUACGGGAGGCAGCAGUGGGGAAUUGUUCGCAAUGGGCGCAAGCCUGACGACGCAACGCCGCGUGGAGGAUGAAGGUCUUCGGAUUGUAAACUCCUGUUGCUCGGGACGAAAAGCUUCGACCUAACACGUCGAAGUCUGACGGUACCGAGUGAGGAAGCCCCGGCUAACUCUGUGCCAGCAGCCGCGGUAAUACAGAGGGGGCAAGCGUUG
rnacentral:rRNA from 1 species